rnacentral:rRNA from 1 species
AUUGAACGCUGGCGGCAUGCCUUACACAUGCAAGUCGAACGGCAGCACGGGAGUAAUCCUGGUGGCGAGUGGCGAACGGGUGAGUAAUAUAUCGGAACGUGCCCAGUCGUGGGGGAUAACGCAGCGAAAGCUGUGCUAAUACCGCAUACGAUCUAAGGAUGAAAGCGGGGGAUCGCAAGACCUCGCGCGAUUGGAGCGGCCGAUAUCAGAUUAGCUAGUUGGUGGGGUAAAGGCCCACCAAGGCGACGAUCUGUAGCUGGUCUGAGAGGACGACCAGCCACACUGGAACUGAGACACGGUCCAGACUCCUACGGGAGGCAGCAGUGGGGAAUUUUGGACAAUGGGCGCAAGCCUGAUCCAGCAAUGCCGCGUGCAGGAUGAAGGCCUUCGGGUUGUAAACUGCUUUUGUACGGAACGAAACGGCCCUUUCUAAUACAGGGGGCUAAUGACGGUACCGUAAGAAUAAGCACCGGCUAACUACGUGCCAGCAGCAGCCGUAA